UACGUAGGGGGCAAGCGUUGUCCGGAAUCAUUGGGCGUAAAGAGCGUGUAGGCGGCCUGAUAAGUCGGCUGUGAAAGUCAAGGGCUCAACCCUUGAAUGCCGGCCGAUACUGUCAGGCUAGAGUCCGGAAGAGGCGAGUGGAAUUCCUGGUGUAGCGGUGAAAUGCGCAGAUAUCAGGAGGAACACCGAUGGCGAAGGCAGAUCUCUGGGCCGUAACUGACGCUGAGGAGCGAAAGCAUGGGGAGCGAACAGG
rnacentral:rRNA from 1 species